rnacentral:misc_RNA from 1 species
GGCUGGGCAAAUCCAGAUCCUUCAUCGCCACGGGAUGCCGAAGAACCCUCCCCCGCCGGUGAGGCAUUCUCUGCCGGUUCCAGCUUCGAGAAAACCCCCUCAUUCAAAUUCUCCAACAGCCCCUUAAGAUCCUUGUACAUCUCACCGUACUUCACCGGCCCAUCGCCACCAUCCUCCAGAUGAUUCCUAAUAUUGAUCUGAACAUGCAACGGCUCCUUCGGCUCCCCCUCCCUUGCUGUCAGAUUCAGCACAUCAACGGCAA